ACGAAUUGAUAUCCGCCGGACAGGACAGAACCGAUUGCCAAUUCUUUUCUAAUCGAACUCGUCGUGAGCACUCGAAUCUAUAUAUAAAAGAAUUGAAUGGUGCUGAUUCUCCAUUGAAAAAGUUGUAAGGAGAGAAGCUCCCAUUUCAGCCUAUGCAAUUGGAGAUUGUAACUAUUGCUGCUUGCGGAUUGAAUUUUUC
rnacentral:lncRNA from 1 species